rnacentral:lncRNA from 1 species
UUUGUUUGUCUUCUCCAUGAACCAUCACUCCCUAGUCUUUCCUCUUAUUUUUUUAUAUUUCCUCUUCCAUGGCAACUUUCAUUGCAAUUCUAACCCUAAUCUUUGUCCCACUCACUCUGUGAAUCAUUCUUCUCUCUUUUUGUUUCUUUUUGUUUCUUGAUUGUCUUCUCUACUACAAGCUUCUCCGUGGCCCUAACCCAAGUUGUAUCCUUAACCCUAACCCUAAUCCGACCCUAAUCCUAAUCAUAUCUCCAACUCUGACUCCAAC